rnacentral:rRNA from 1 species
GCUUUAUAAAUAAUUUAAAUUGAAUUGAUUUAAGUGAAUUUAAAAGUUAAGUUUAAUUGUUUUAUUCCAUUGGGGUGAUGCGAGUAUAAUUGUUAUUAACUGCUUGGGAAUGAUUACUAAUGUAUAAGAGUUAUUAAUUAUGAUCCUUUUUAAAGAUUAGAAGGCUAAGUU